AUGCUUCCGUUUCUUGGCCGAAAUCAAAGUCGGGUUGGAGUCCAAAGUCACAUGGUGUUGGCCGCAGCUUUGUUCCAACAAGUCGAAAAGAAGCCAUUCGGUUUUAGUCAUUAUUGGAUUAAACUGAAUGGCCUACCAAAAUGGUAUCAAGUUGUGGAAUACCUCAAGAAAGGCACCAAGAGGUUGAAGACAAAUGAUGGCUCAAGCUCUCACCAAUCCAUUGGAGUGGAUGAUGAAGAGGAAGAAGUUGUAGGGGAGAAUGAAAGAGCUACCGUGCUAAAUAAUAACUUGAAGAGAUGA
rnacentral:rRNA from 1 species